rnacentral:rRNA from 1 species
AGAGUUUGAUCCUGGCUCAGGAUGAACGCUGGCGGCGUGCCUAACACAUGCAAGUCGAGCGGUCCAAAUAUCUAACAUUGAGUAUUCGAUAAAAUAUGGUUAAUAAAUUAGCCAGCGUCAAGCACGAAGGAGUCCCUUAGAAACGACGAAGUGCUUCACGCAUAUUAAAGUGCCAACACAUGGCAUAAUUGAGUAUUGAAUGUUAGAUAUUUGGAUAGCGGCGGACGGGUGAGUAACGCGUGGGCAACCUACCUUGUACAGUGGAAUAACAGUCGGAAACGAUUGCUAAUACCGCAUGAUACUAUUUUAAGGCAUCUUAGAAUAGUCAAAGAUUUAUCGGUACAAGAUGGGCCCGCGUCUGAUUAGCUAGUUGGUGGGGUAAAGGCCUACCAAGGCGACGAUCAGUAGCCGGCCUGAGAGGGUGACCGGCCACACUGGAACUGAGACACGGUCCAGACUCCUACGGGAGGCAGCAGUGGGGGAUAUUGCACAAUGGGGGAAACCCUGAUGCAGCGACGCCGCGUGAGCGAUGAAGGCCUUCGGGUCGUAAAGCUCUGUUUCGAGGGAAGAUAAUGACGGUACCUCGGGAGAAAGCCCCGGCUAACUACGUGCCAGCCGCCGCGGUAAUAC